rnacentral:rRNA from 1 species
GAUGAACGCUGGCGGCGUGCCUAAUACAUGCAAGUCGAGCGAACGGACGAGAAGCUUGCUUCUCUGAUGUUAGCGGCGGACGGGUGAGUAACACGUGGAUAACCUACCUAUAAGACUGGGAUAACUUCGGGAAACCGGAGCUAAUACCGGAUAAUAUUUUGAACCGCAUGGUUCAAAAGUGAAAGACGGUCUUGCUGUCACUUAUAGAUGGAUCCGCGCUGCAUUAGCUAGUUGGUAAGGUAACGGCUUACCAAGGCAACGAUGCAUAGCCGACCUGAGAGGGUGAUCGGCCACACUGGAACUGAGACACGGUCCAGACUCCUACGGGAGGCAGCAGUAGGGAAUCUUCCGCAAUGGGCGAAAGCCUGACGGAGCAACGCCGCGUGAGUGAUGAAGGUCUUCGGAUCGUAAAACUCUGUUAUUAGGGAAGAACAUAUGUGUAAGUAACUGUGCACAUCUUGACGGUACCUAAUCAGAAAGCCACGGCUAACUACGUGCCAGCAGCCGCGGUAAUACGUAGGUGGCAAGCGUUAUCCGGAAUUAUUGGGCGUAAAGCGCGCGUAGGCGGUUUUUUAAGUCUGAUGUGAAAGCCCACGGCUCAACCGUGGAGGGUCAUUGGAAACUGGGAAACUUGAGUGCAGAAGAGGAAAGUGGAAUUCCAUGUGUAGCGGUGAAAUGCGCAGAGAUAUGGAGGAACACCAGUGGCGAAGGCGACUUUCUGGUCUGUAACUGACGCUGAUGUGCGAAAGCGUGGGGAUCAAACAGGAUUAGAUACCCUGGUAGUCCACGCCGUAAACGAUGAGUGCUAAGUGUUAGGGGGUUUCCGCCCCUUAGUGCUGCAGCUAACGCAUUAAGCACUCCGCCUGGGGAGUACGACCGCAAGGUUGAAACUCAAAGGAAUUGACGGGGACCCGCACAAGCGGUGGAGCAUGUGGUUUAAUUCGAAGCAACGCGAAGAACCUUACCAAAUCUUGACAUCCUUUGACAACUCUAGAGAUAGAGCCUUCCCCUUCGGGGGACAAAGUGACAGGUGGUGCAUGGUUGUCGUCAGCUCGUGUCGUGAGAUGUUGGGUUAAGUCCCGCAACGAGCGCAACCCUUAAGCUUAGUUGCCAUCAUUAAGUUGGGCACUCUAAGUUGACUGCCGGUGACAAACCGGAGGAAGGUGGGGAUGACGUCAAAUCAUCAUGCCCCUUAUGAUUUGGGCUACACACGUGCUACAAUGGACAAUACAAAGGGCAGCGAAACCGCGAGGUCAAGCAAAUCCCAUAAAGUUGUUCUCAGUUCGGAUUGUAGUCUGCAACUCGACUACAUGAAGCUGGAAUCGCUAGUAAUCGUAGAUCAGCAUGCUACGGUGAAUACGUUCCCGGGUCU